rnacentral:lncRNA from 1 species
UCAAUGAUAGGAAACAACAGGAUCUUGAAACCUAUGGUUCUCACAAACAAUCAAUAAACAACAAUAGAUAAUGAUGUGUACCUUUCUCCAUUAAGACUUGUACCUUUCUCUUUGGAACUUCUCUCCAGUGCACUUUGAUUUCCUUGAAAGAGGAGAGAAAUAAGAUUUCACUUCCUUAGGCCUUUCUUCUCUGCCUCUCUCCGUUCGUGAUGGUUAUGGUGAGAGAGAACACUUUCUGGUCAGGAAGGGGACCUUAUUUCACAUUAGUGGGUAUUAAGCCCCUUUUAUAACCAUUACUCCCAUCAAGUAACAGUUAACCCUAGAAACUUCUCCUAUUAAGACUAAUUACAAUUUAGUCCUUAAUCGUUAAUUAUUUAUUUAUUAGUCCCUACAUAAGUCACAUGCCUCUCAUAUGAGACAUUAAUUCUUACAUUCUCCCACUUGGCUCAUGUGACAUUAAUAAACAUUAUGGACUAAAUAAAUAAAUAGAUUAACUAACAUAAUGCGCAUUAAAAAUUGACUAAAUUGUUCUAUACAUUGGGUACAUCAUAAUUUCAUGAUUAAGAAUAGGAACCAAUUUGAGUCAUGGCGGUUGUACAUCAUCUAAUUGACAUAGUCCCUUCCAUAUACUACAAAUUAGUCUUCUCCUUAAUAUGACCAUUAGUUAGGAGUACAUAAUUGGUCCAACAUAAUGUCUUCAUUCAAGACAAAACCCGUUAACAUUACUCUAACACAAACAUGCAUGCAAACAUAGAGAACAUGUAAUCAGAAACAUAUCAUAAUUGAGCUCAGAGUGUCAGCAAAAUUACAUAAGGUAAAUUACAUUUAAUGAUCAUCAAUAACAAUAAUGCCCAUACUUUCAACAUGUUCUAUAAUGUCUUGGGCAAUAAUCCCUUAUUCAAAGGGUCAACUAUCAUAAGGUUUGUGCUAAUAUGUUCUAUUGACACUCUUUGUUUCUGAACUUCUUCCUUCACGACAAAGUACCUCAAUUUCAUAUGCUUAGCACCCUUAGAGUACUUGUCGUUCUAACAAAAUACUGCUGCGGAGUUAUCACAAUACAUUUUCAGCGGCCUAGCAAUAUUAUCGACAAUUCCAAGCCCUGAAAUAAAGUUCCGCAGCCAAUUAGCCUGAAUUGUAACCUUAAAACAUAUUACAAAUUCAGCUCUCAGAUGCAACAACAACUGAUGAAUACAAAAUUACUUUCAUUUGUUUUCGUUCCAUAUCAUUUCUAGGACAUUGUGCGAGACUAACUCUGUCUCAUUUCUGAAUUAGAAUAGGCGAUGUUAAACACCUUUCCAUCUUGAAUCUCUCUAGCACUAUAUCGAUAUAUAUACUUUCUGAGAUAAGCCUAACAAUCCUUGUGAUCUAUUAUGAAAUAUUUCUAUCCCUAUCACAUAGGUUACCUCACCCAUAUCUUUCACUUCAAAGUUUCUAGAGAGAAAUUUCUUAGUCUCAUGAAGAAGACCAAGAUCGUUAGCUGCAAGCAAGAUAUCAUCAAUAUACAAAAUUAGAAAAUAACCUUACUCCCACUGACCUUCAGAUACAUACACCGAUAAACAGUAUUUUCCUUAAAUCUAAAGGAAAUAAUGGUAUCAUUAAACCUCAAAUACCAUUGGCGGGAAGCUUGUUUUAAUAUUGUAUAUUAAUUUCUUUAGUAUGCACACCAUGUGUUCAUUUCCUUCAACUGAGAACCCCAUUGGUUGGUCCAUACAAACAUUCUUCUCUAAGUCUCCAUUAAGAAAGGCAGUUUUCACAUCCAUCUGAUGUAACUCCAAGUCAUAAUGGGCUACUAAUGCCAUAAUAAUCCUGAAAGAAUCCUUUCAUGAGACGGGUGAAAACGUCUCUUUAUAAUCAAUGUCAUCUUUCUGAGUAAAUUCCUUAGCAACAAGUCUAGUCUUGUAACGUUCAAAGUUGUCAUGAGAGUCACGUUUAGUCUUGAAGACCCACUUACAACCAACUCUCUUACAACCCUUUGGUAAUUUUACAAGCUCCCAAACUCCAUUAUGUUCCAUGGAAUCUAUUUCUUCUUUCAUGACAUUUAACCACUUCUCAGAACUAUCAUAACUUACAACUUGUGAAAACAAAACUGGAUCAUUAUCAUUAAUGCUUAAGUUUGUUUCUGUUUCAUGUAGGUAUACCACAUGAUCAUUCGAAAUAGCUGGUCUUCUUUCUUUUUGAGACCUCCUUAAUGCUACUUCUUGUGGUUCUUCCCCAAUGGGUUCAUUAUGUAUCAUGGGCUCAUCAUUGUGUUGUACUUCUUCAUUACUGUUUGCAACAAUAACUGAUGUAGUAAUCACCUUACUGUUAGAGACAAAAGUUAAAGGGACUUGCACUCUAACUUCUUUAAUUUUCACUUCUCGUGGAACUGUACUCCCACUGAUUUCACCGUUUUCAAUGAAUCUUGCAUUUCCAGUUUCGACAAUUCUCAUAUUAUGAUUAGGACAAUAAAUCAUAUACCCAUUUGACUUUUUUGGAUAACCAAUGAAAUAUUCACUGAUUGUUCUUGCAUCCAAUUUUCUUUCUUGCGGAUUGUAAAUUCUUAUUUCUGUCUAGCAACCCCAAACAUGCAGGUGCCUUAUACUAGGCGUCCUAUUUGUCCACAGUUCAAAAGAUGUCUUUGGAACUGCCUUACUAGGAACCCUAUUCAACAAAUACAUGGCAGUUUUCAAGGCAUACAUCCACAAACAUACGGGUAAAGUCUAAUUGAUUAACAUACUCCUAACCAUAUCCAUUAAAGUUCUACUAUGUCUUUCUGAUACACCAUUUUGUUGUGGUGUAUCGGGAAUUGUGUAUUGCACACAAAUGCAUGUUUCUGAACAAGCUUAGCAAAUGAACUUGAGUGUUGCCCAGUUUCAUCAUAUCUUCCGUAAUACUUAUCACCUCUAUCAUAUCUAAUAAUUUUCACAUUUAUGUCUAAUUGCCAUUUUACUUUAUUGUAGUAAAUUUCUAAGGCAUCCAUUGCCUAAGAAAUCUCGGGCAGUAAGUAGACAUAACCGUAACGUGAAUAAUCAUCAAUAAUGGUGAUAAAGUAUCUUUCAUUUCCGAAAGAACUAACAUCAAAAUGUCCACAAAUAUCAGUAUGCACAAUUUCAAGAAGCUGAGUGCUUCUUGUAGCUCAUUUCUUUGUGUGUUUUAUUUGUUUUCCCUUGAUACAAUCCACACAAAUAUUUAGAUCCGUAAAAUCUAGAUCAGGAAGAAUUUCAUUCUUUAUUAAUCUUUUUAUCCUUUCUCUAGAAAUGUGACCUAAACGUUUAUGCCACAAGAAAGCAGAUCGUUCAUUCACUAAACUACGUUUAGUGCCAACAUUAUGAUGCAGAAUUAAAACAGUUUCAACAUACAAACUGUCUAUUUCCAAUUUAUAUAAACCAUCACGAGAAUAUCAGUACCAAUGAGAUGAUUAUGCUUAAAUAAAUUGAAACAUCCAUUACCAAAAUUAAAAGAGUAUGCAGUAACAUCAAGUUUAAAUAAUGAAACUAAAUUACUAGAUAAACUAGGUACAUAAGGAGUUUCCAGUAAAUCUAAACGACGUCCAGUGUUGCAUUUUAAACAAUAAGUCUCAACUAUUUUCACUGGAGCUUUCACUUCAUUCCCCAUGAAAAUGAACUUCUCAUUUGGGCUUAUGGUUUGGAUUGUAAGGAAUCUUUGCAUAAUGUUAGAAACAUGAGUCAUACAUCCAGAAUUAAUCCAUCAUGUAUCAUGGGAAACUAUAGUUAAGUUUGAUUCAAAACAUACAUGAGCAUUAAGCUCACCAUUCUUUUCGAACCAAGACUUACACUUUAGGCAAUCCUUUUGGAAAUAUCUUAAUUUCACAAAAUUGACAAUUAUUGCCCUUUGAUACCUUUCUUCUGGAUUUGCAAAGAGUCGUCAUUGUUCUUUAAUGACCCUUUUUGCCUUUAUCAUGCUUCUUCAUAAAUUUCUUUUCAAGCUCCUUGAUUCCCUUGGUGGCUAACAUAAUGGACUAAGUGACUUCCUUGAUUCUUAAGCCUCGUUUCUUCCAGAACUAACAUACUGUGCAAUUCAUGCACAUUCCAUUUAUCUUUCAUGAUAUUAUAGUUCAUUUAGAACAGGCCAAACUCAGACGGUAAUGAGUUCAGAAUAAACUGAACAAGAAAGUUCUCAUUCACAGCCAUUAUAUUCUCAAGGUCUUAAGUCUUGUUGUAAUGUUUGUCAUCUCAAUGACAUGUGCAUACAUAGUACGUGAAUCAUCAAACUUCAUGGUGAUCAAUGUACUCAUUAAUGUCCCAACAACAGACUUAUCAGCUAUUUGAGAAUACUCUCCCACUAAUCUCAUAAACUUUUUAGCACUUUCGAUUUUAGGGAGAGUUGUCUUAAUACUGUCUGCAACAGUCAUUCUUAUCAACAUUAGGCUGAGUCUGUUAGGUCUUUCCCAAGUUUUAUAAUGAACUUUCUCUUCAUUGCUACUAACAUCAAUAAUAGUAACAAAUUUCUCUUCUAACAUAGCAAGAUCAUGAUCCAAAACACUAAGGUGAAAUUGGACUUGCUCAUUUCUGUCAGAGAAGUUAAGCCCAUUAAAAUUGGUACAGAUGAUGCAUAAGAAUCCAAUGAAUUCAAAACAUGUAUUACAUAAUAAAAUUCACAUAAGUGUUUUGAGACAUAAAAUAUAUGUCAUACAUAUGAUUCAUUCAGAUAACAGACAAUGUAUAUUGAUGUUCUCCUUUGGGUGAUACACCAACAUACAACAUACAAACAUAAUGAUGCUAAUAAAAUUUUAACAUUAUUUGGCAAUUAAAUAUGCACCAAUUAGUUGUAUCUAUUUCCUUUGGGCAUAUAAAUAAAACUAAUGAUACACACAAAUUGCCUACAAUUAUAUUCAUUAAUUAUAAGAAUAACUAAUCAACCUUUGGGCGAUCCAUAAAUGCCUUAUAACAAUGAAUUUCAAUUACCCAUAAACCAAUAAUCAUAUAAUUUAGCAUCCAUUAUUCUAUGAGUAAUUGGAAUAAUCAUUAAGUUAGAAUUAAAUAACCUUACAAAUUUGGCCACUUUGGUGACUAACAAAUUCAACAUAUAUUUAAUUCCAACCAAAUAUUAUUGAAAUAAUCAUUAAUUUGGAAUUAAAUAACCUUACAAAUUUGGUCACUUUGGUGACUAACAAAUCCAACAUACAUUUAAUUCCAACCAAAUAUGUAUGGCCUGCACAUACUUAUUGCUAUUAACAAUUCAUAGUCAUUCUAUUAAUUUCAUUCCAAACCAUAAAAUAAUAUUUGCAUUUAUUUGUGUUUUUACAUUCUAACACGUUCAAGCAAAUAUGUAGCAUAUACAUGUAUUUACUGCUAUCAAUAAUUGCAAAACAUUCACAUUAAUUUAAUUACAUAACAUAAACUUUCAAUCCUUUAAUCACUUUCAACAAUAAUUUUUUCGGGAAAAAAAAGAUCAAGUGGGAUUGGAAAUAGCAAACAUAAGGUUGCAAAUAGAAAUUUCCAAAAUUUCAAUAUUCUUCCUGCAACAAACGUACCUGCCAACGCAGCUUUUCAAAAUUGAAAUUGAAUCUUUACGUUUAGGCACGCUUUCUUUCUUUCACCAUUAGAAGUAAAAACUUUCUCCAAAUUUAAUAUAUACAUGCCGUGCAACUUUCUCUCCCAUAAUCAUAAGUUUUCAAAUAAUCUUUCUCCAAAAAUUGGUAUUCAACAAUAAUAAAAUAUUGCCAAUAAAAUAAUACAUGCAGCGGAAAAUAAAAUUCCUAAAUUUCAUAAUUAGGAUUUAUGCAUAAUUGAGAGAAAUUAAAUUAUCCCUAAAUUUCAUAAUUAGGGUUCAUACAUAAUUGAAAGAAAUUAAAUUAUCCUUAAAUUUCAUAAUUAGGGUUCAUGUAUAAUUGAGAGAAAUUAAAUCAUUCUUGGAGAAUCAUAAAUUUCAUAACAUGCUCUGAUACCACAUGUAAAGAUUCUUAAGGGGUUUCCUAGACUAUCAAUGACAGGAAACAACAGGAUCUUAAAACCUAUGGUUCUCACAAACAAUCAAUAAACAACAAUAGAUAAUGAUGUGUACCUUUCUCCAUUAAGACUUGUACCUUUCUCUUUGGAACUUCUCUCCGGUGCACUUUAAUUUUCUUGAAAGAGGAGAAAAAUAAGAUUUCACUUCCUUAGGCCUUUCUUCUCUGCCUCUCUCCGUUCGUGAUGGUUAUGGUGAGAGAGAACACUUUCUGGUAAGGAAGGGGACCUUAUUUCACAUUAGUGGGUAUUAAGCCCAUUUUAUAACCAUUACUCCUAUCAAGUAGCAGUUAACCCUAGAAACUUCUCCUAUUAAGCCCAAUUACAAUUUAGUCCUUAAUCGUUAAUUAUUUAUUUAUUAGUCCCUACAUAAGUCACAUACCUCUCACAUGAGACAUUAAUUCUUACAAUCACCACCUUCUAAGUUAUCAGAGGAUGAGGAUGGUCAUAUUUAUUCACACCUUCUUGAAAUAUAUGCAUUGACAUCAAUAGAUCCUUUGAGUUAAGUGAUUCAGUGUGACAAACAAGCAGCAUAUAAUUGAUCUGACUUGUAUGCAAAACAAUUUGCAUAUUUGCUUUCCUCCAUUGUAGUGAUUGAAACGCAUAUGCCUGACC